rnacentral:misc_RNA from 1 species
GAAAUGCGAUAAGUAAUGUGAAUUGCAGAAUUCAGUGAAUCAUCGAAUCUUUGAACGCACCUUGCGCUCCUUGGUAUUCCUUGGAGCAUGCCUGUUUGAGUAUCAUGAAAUCUUCAAAGUAAAUCUUUUGUUAACUCAAUUGGUUUCUACUUUGGUAUUGGAGGUCUUUGCAGCUUCACACCUGCUCCUCUUUGUUCAUUAGCUGGAUCUCAGUGUUAUGCUUGGUUCCACUCGGCGUGAUAAGUUAUCUAUCGCUGAGGACACUGUAAAAGGUGGCCAAGGUAAAUGCAGAUGAACCGCUUCUAAUAGUCCAUUGACUUGGACAAUACUUUUAUGAUCUGAUCUCACAGCAGGUAGGACUACCCGCUGAACUUAAGC